CCUACGGGAGGCAGCAGUGGGGAAUAUUGCGCAAUGGGCGAAAGCCUGACGCAGCGACGCCGCGUGAGGGAUGAAGGUCUUCGGAUCGUAAACCUCUGUCAGCAGGGAAGAACGGUCACUGUGCUAAUCAGCAGUGAAUUGACGGUACCUGCAAAGGAAGCACCGGCUAACUCCGUGCCAGCAGCCGCGGUAAUACGGAGGGUGCGAGCGUUAAUCGGAAUUACUGGGCGUAAAGCGCUCGUAGACGGUAUGUCAAGUCAAGGGUGAAAUCCCCGCGCUCAACGUGGGAACUGCCUUUGAUACUGGCAGACUGGAGUGUGUGAGAGGAUAGUGGAAUUCCAGGUGUAGGAGUGAAAUCCGUAGAUAUCUGGAGGAACAUCAGUUGCGAAGGCGACUAUCUGGCACAUAACUGACGCUGAGGAGCGAAAGCGUGGGUAGCAAACAGGAUUAGAUACCCUAGUAGUC
rnacentral:rRNA from 1 species